GACGAACGCUGGCGGCGUGCUUAACACAUGCAAGUCGAACGGAAAGGCCCUGCUUGCAGGGUACUCGAGUGGCGAACGGGUGAGUAACACGUGGGUGAUCUGCCCUGCACUUCGGGAUAAGCCUGGGAAACUGGGUCUAAUACCGGAUAGGAGCCAUUUUUAGUGUGAUGGUUGGAAAGUUUUUUCAGUGUAGGAUGAGCUCGCGGCCUAUCAGCUUGUUGGUGGGGUAAUGGCCUACCAAGGCGGCGACGGGUAGCCGGCCUGAGAGGGUGGACGGCCACAUUGGGACUGAGAUACGGCCCAGACUCCUACGGGAGGCAGAAGUGGGGAAUAUUGCACAAUGGGCGCAAGCCUGAUGCAGCGACGCCGCGUGGGGGAUGACGGCCUUCGGGUUGUAAACUCCUUUCGCUAGGGACGAAGCUUUUUGUGGCGGUACCUAGAUAAGAAGCACCGGCUAACUACGUG
rnacentral:rRNA from 1 species